AGUGAACGCUGGCGGUAGGCCUAACACAUGCAGGUCGAACGGCAGCACAGUAAGAGCUUGCUCUUACGGGUGGCGAGUGGCGGACGGGUGAGGAAUACAUCGGAAUCUACUUUUUCGUGGGGGAUAACGUAGGGAAACUUACGCUAAUACCGCAUACGACCUACGGGUGAAAGCAGGGGAUCUUCGGACCUUGCGCGAUUGAAUGAGCCGAUGUCGGAUUAGCUAGUUGGCGGGGUAAAGGCCCACCAAGGCGACGAUCCGUAGCUGGUCUGAGAGGAUGAUCAGCCACACUGGAACUGGGCCACGGUCCAGACUCCUACGGGAGGCAGCAGUGGGGAAUAUUGGCCAAUGGGCGCAAGCCUGAUCCAGCCAUACCGCGUGGGUGAAGAAGGCCUUCGGGUUGUAAAGCCCUUUUGUUGGGAAAGACAAGCAGCAGGUUAAUACCCCGCUGUUCUGACGGUACCCAAAGAAUAAGCACCGGCUAACUUCGUG
rnacentral:rRNA from 1 species